UACGAAGGGGGCUAGCGUUGUUCGGAAUUAUUGGGCGUAAAGGGCGCGUAGGCGGCUUCAUAAGUCAAAGGUGAAAUCCCUCGGCUCAACUGAGGAACUGCCUUUGAAACUGUGGAGCUUGAGGCCGGGAGGGGGUAGCGGAAUUCCACGUGUAGCGGUGGAAUGCGUAGACAUCGGGAGGAACACCUGCGGUGUAGACGGGUUACUGGACCGUAACUGACGCUGAGGCGCGAAAGCGUGGGGAGCAAACAGG
rnacentral:rRNA from 1 species